rnacentral:rRNA from 1 species
UACGGGAGGCAGCAGUGGGGAAUAUUGCACAAUGGGCGAAAGCCUGAUGCAGCUAUGCCGCGUGUAUGAAGAAGGCCUUAGGGUUGUAAAGUACUUUCAUCGGGGAGGAAAAACAAAACUAAUAAUUUUAUUUCUUGACGUUACCCGAAAAAGAAGCACCGGCUAACUCCGUGCCAGCAGCCGCGGUAAUACGGAGGGUGCUAGCGUUAAUCAGAAUUACUGGGCGUAAAGAGCACGUAGGUGGUUUUUUUAAGUCAGAUGUGAAAUCCCUGGGCUUAACCUGGAACUGCAUUUUGAAACUGAAAUACUAGAGUAUCGUAGAGGGAGGUAGAAUUCUAGGUGUAGCGGUGAAAUGCGUAGAUAUCUGGAGGAAUACCUGUGGCGAAAGCGGCCUCCUAAACGAAUACUGACACUGAGGUGCGAAAGCGUGGGGAGCGAAACAGGGAUUAGGAUACC